GAUGAAGAACGUAGCGAAAUGCGAUACGUAAUGUGAAUUGCAGAAUUCAGUGAAUCAUCGAAUCUUUGAACGCACAUUGCACUCUCUGGUAUUCCGGAGAGUAUGCUUGUUUGAGUAUCUGUAAACAUCUCAAAUCUCUCUUCAAUUGCUUCAAUUGGGUCGAGAGAAUUGGAUUUGAGCGAUCCCGACUCCUUCGUCAGAAAGAGGAGGGUCGCUUGAAAUGCAGGUGCAGCUGGACAUUCUUCUGAGCAAAAAGCAUAUCUAUUUAGUCCCGUCAAACGGAUUAUUACUUUUGCUUCAGCUAAUAUAAAGGUUGAAUGAACUACCAACGCUGAUUGCAGGAAAACAUGUUCGUUUAUUCGGACUUGUAAACUCGAACUCAAAUCAAGUAAGACUACCCGCUGAACUUAAGCAUAUCAAUAAGCGGAGGA
rnacentral:misc_RNA from 1 species